UACGAAGGGGGCUAGCGUUGUUCGGAAUUACUGGGCGUAAAGGGCUCGUAGGCGGCCAACUAAGUCACACGUGAAAUCCCUCGGCUCAACCGGGGAACUGCGUGUGAGACUGGAUGGCUUGAGUUUGGGAGAGGAAUGCGGAAUUCCAGGUGUAGCGGUGAAAUGCGUAGAUAUCUGGAGGAACACCGGUGGCGAAGGCGGCAUUCUGGACCAACACUGACGCUGAGGAGCGAAAGCCAGGGGAGCAAACGGG
rnacentral:rRNA from 1 species